AUCUAAAAGAAGGCAAGAAGAAAUCUAGAGAGGGGCUUUUACAACGAUCUGUAGUGACAGGACAAGGGCAAAUGGCUUUAACCUGACAGAGGAGAG